AUCACCAGACACUCAGCAAUCAGAAGGUGAAACGAUUAAUUUUGGAGGUCUAAAUACAACCAUCAUUCAACUGACAACCACCUUUACAACCAUACAUGAGCUUCAUAGGUCACAUAUAAUCCAAAUUUCUAAUUUGAACCCAAUCAUGUUGCUAUCUACCAUUCAACCUG